GCAAGUCGAGCGGUAAGCUAACUUCGGUUAGCCUAGAGCGGCGAACGGGUGAGUAACACGUAAAUAACCUGCCCCCAAGUUCGGGACAACCUUGCUAACGCGAGGCUAAUACCGGAUGUGGUUUAGAAGAUUCAUGUCUUUUAAAUUAAAACUACGGUGCUUGGGGAUGGAUUUGCGUACUAUUAGCUAGUUGGUAAGGUAAUGGCUUACCAAGGCGAUGAUAGUUAGCCGACCUGAGAGGGUGAUC
rnacentral:rRNA from 1 species